CUCUGAAGUCCCCUCGCUCCUCUACCCUCUGCAGAUUGGCCCCUUCCAAGUGAAGAGAGACAGGCAGAGGAAAGAGCUGAGAGGCAGCUGCAGGCGAGUGUAGGAGGUGCUGGAGAAGUGAAGUAGAGGGUGGAAGUCAGAAACAGCACCAACAGACUCCAGCCUCCAGAUUCGAAGACCUGGCAGUGCGAGUACCUCGGGGGGACGUGCAGUGAUCUGCCCUGCCCCGUCGGCCACAGUACAGAGGAGGGGUUCUGCGAUGGUGGCUUGAACUGCUGCUACCCCUGACCGGGACACCGGGCUAUGAGAAGCCCACCCCUUCCGAAGAGCUGCCGCGUUUUCAUCGGGAUGGAUGGGCACCCGAAAUCCACUCCAACCCCCCGUCCCCACCCUCCGCCGUCUCCCCCUCCCCCACCACCCCCGACCCACCACCCGAGCCCUCUCUCGUGACUGUUCCAGGCUCCCGUUUGGAAUCACAAGAAGGCUGGCGUCGACCUGCUGAUCUUUGUUCUCCAAUUCUGACUUUCUCUCCUUGUGCCUUGCGAUUGGACAGUUGUCAGCGGAAGGGGCAAGGUGGUGGGGUGGGGUGGGGGGCUGGGGAAUGCUGGAGGAGGGGUUAGGAUCGGGGAUCAACCCUUGGAGAAGUUGAUCUUUAACCACGCUACCCCACCCCCACUUCCCGGCAAUGUAAACACAGUCCUUCGACCUUAUUGUUAGCCGAGAACAUCACCUGGAAGAAGCUUCCUAAUCGUUAAAGGAACGUGGUCAUGCACGGACUGGGUAACAAAAUAAAACAGUCCGCUCCCCCCUCCAGGAGCCUCUGACAUAACAAAGCUACCCUCAGAUCGGGCAUAUGUAGCAUUAUACUAUAGCUUGUCUAAACUAUUGCCAAAGUCUCCCUGUAUCAGAAUUCUAACUUGGAAGUCUAGGAUAUUGUGAUUAUCUCUGUGUGGGCAGGUGAGGAUAUAGAUGUGAAACUACAUGUUAUGCAGCUGUUAGCGUGUAUAAUAUUUUGGACAAUAUUUUUCUUUUAAGGUAGAGGUUUAGUCUGCAUGUGUCUUAAUUGGAUUAAAGCCAACUCGCCUGGGUACUUUGAUGUGUACUAGUUUUGAGAUGGGAGGGAGGUAGAGUGCAUUUGCAGUCUUUGAAUAGAGCAAUCAAUAAAGUGGGGUGAAAUCUAGCACCUAUCUAGCAGAGACCAAGUGACGUGUUUAUAUUGCUAAUAAAAUUGGUAUUAGGAAUGGGAUUUCAUUGUUAAAAAGUAAAGCUCAUAGAGGUUGGUAAUAUGAAGAGAAUUUGAAUUCUAUCAGUGGUGGCAGGUAUAACUUCAGUAGUUUUCAGGUGUGUGGAGCAGAGGGUGAUCAGAAGGUAGCUGUAAGCCUCCAACUGGUUCCACAGGAACCAAAGUGAAAAGAAACUCAUUUUGAAUUCGUAAGGUGAAACUGCUUUGCCUGGUGCCUGGUUAAGCCUAUGGGUUGCUCUUGCCUUAGUAGAGAUUAGUUUGGGAACUUGUUGAAAAUUCUGAAAGUAGUAAUUUGUAGCCAGGUCUAUAUAUAUAUAUUUUAACCUGUAUAAAUUAAUAAAAUGGUUCAAUUAGUUUAAUGUAAAA